AACAGGAACUUNUCCGCUGCGAGUGCGAACGGGUGAGUAUGCGUCGGAACGUGCCGAGUAGUGGGGGAUAACGCAUCGAAAGGUGUGCUAAUACCGCAUACGUACUGAGGUAGAAAGUGGGGGACCUUCGGGCCUCACGCUAUUCGAGCGGCCGACGUCUGAUUAGCUAGUUGGUGAGGUAAAGGCUCACCAAGGCGACGAUCAGUAGCGGGUCUGAGAGGAUGAUCCGCCACACUGGGACUGAGACACGGCCCAGACUCCUACGGGAGGCAGCAGUGGGGAAUUUUGGACAAUGGGCGCAAGCCUGAUCCAGCCAUGCCGCGUGUCUGAAGAAGGCCUUCGGGUUGUAAAGGACUUUUGUCCGGGAGCAAAUGCCUGGUGUUAAUAGCAUCGGGAGCUGAGAGUACCGGNAAAAUAACACCGGCUACUACGUGCAGCAGCCGCGGUAAUACGUAAGGUGCAACGUUAUCGGAAUUACUGGGGCGUAAAGCUGCCAGGCGGKUUUGUAACCAANUUGAA
rnacentral:rRNA from 1 species